GAUGAACGCUGACAGAAUGCUUAACACAUGCAAGUCGACUUGAAUUUGGGUUUUUAACUUAGGUUUGGGUGGCGGACGGGUGAGUAACGCGUAAAGAACUUGCCUCACAGCUAGGGACAACAUUUGGAAACGAAUGCUAAUACCUAAUAUUAUGAUAAUAGGGCAUCCUAUAAUUAUGAAAGCUAUAAGCGCUGUGAGAGAGCUUUGCGUCCCAUUAGCUAGUUGGAGAGGUAACGGCUCACCAAGGCGAUGAUGGGUAGCCGGCCUGAGAGGGUGAUCGGCCACAAGGGGACUGAGACACGGCCCUCACUCCUACGGGAGGCAGCAGUGGGGAAUAUUGGACAAUGGACCAAGAGUCUGAUCCAGCAAUUCUGUGUGCACGAUGAAGUUUUUCGGAAUGUAAAGUGCUUUCAGUUGGGAAGAAAGAAAUGACGGUACCAACAGAAGAAGUGACGGCUAAAUACGUG
rnacentral:rRNA from 1 species